UGUAAACAUCCUUGACUGGAAGCUGUGGUUUUGGACGUCAAGGGCUUUCAGUCGGAUGUUUGCA
rnacentral:pre_miRNA from 1 species